AGUUGUCUCACUCACCACCAAAUCCCCAGUGCCUGGCACCUAACACAUGCUUAAUACAUGCUUGACAGACAAACAACAAAUAAAGAACAAACUCAAGGAGUAGCAAUCAACAAUGAGAGAAAAGGAUGAAGAAAUUAAAGUUGAAGAAACUGUGGUCUCCCAAGGUUUAAUGUAAUUCAAGGUUACUCAGUACCAUGCAGAGUUGAGAUUAAAACCAAGAAAGAAACCACCGAGGAGAUAAGCGAUAAAAGCUCAAAGAACCAAACUUUACCAUUGCCAAAUCACAGUGGCUUCACACCCCUGGAGCCACAGAAAUGACUUGUAUGUACUGCUCCUGAGAUGCCCAUUACUUGGCUGAGACUUUGGAUAAUGGUUCUGAUGAAAGCAUCGCAAGAUACUGUAAAGCUGAUGGAUUCCAGCCAAAAGGAUGACAUAAUAUAAAUACAAAAUCUACUAGUUUUUCCUGUCAGCAAGUCAGAAUUACGGCUUUUCUAUAUGCCACUCCUGCCAUACAGAAUAACUCACUUCAAACUACAGCAGCAAUUCCAGGAAUACCCAGAAUCGUAAAUGCUGCUUCAUUUACAAUAAACUUCUAGGGACGAUCAAACAAUCAAUGCCAACUCAAUAGUUCAGAGCUCUAUGUUCUGCUCCCAACAAGCCCACUUUAGUUGAGAGGAGGUUUCUGAUCAAAGUAAAUAUAGUACUUUGCUUAAUUAAAGUCAAUAAGUGUCUCUAAAAGCUACAUUGUAUCAAGA